rnacentral:lncRNA from 1 species
CCAAACAACUAUCAAUAUCUGAACAGCAUUAAAUGAUACAGUAAUUAAAAUACCAUAUUAUAGAAUAGAUAAUUAUUUUUUAAAUUUUAGUGAAUAACCAAAACUGUAUUGCUGAACAUGUCUAAAAAUCUAUUUAUUUGGUUUUACCCACAGUUCAAAUUAUGUUGGAUGAACUAUACAGCUAAAAACAUUCAAAAAAUGCUACAGGAAUUGCCAAAAAAUGCAGUAAAAUAAUAUGAUUGCAUUGUGUGUAGAAUUUUUGCACUAACAACACUAAAAGGAGUUAGAUUUAGUGAGAAAAGUAUUAAAUUGCAAUGCUAAUAUGAACAAUGUGGCUCAGAAAGAAGUUGGAAGCUACAAAACAGAAUCAAGUGGGAGAGGGGAAUCCCAUAUUCGUAGCUUUUACCAGCUGUUUUAGAUAAUUGUCAGAAUUUAUCAAACAUCUCUUGGUGUAAAAACCUUGAAGUUUAAAUAUUUUAUUAGAUAAUUCAUACUUUACCACCUCAUAACAAUAUUAAAAUUUAUCACUCUUUGAAUUUUUUCAGUAACUUACAUAUAUAUAUGUAUAUAUAAAUCAAUAUCAAUCACUGUUAAUUGGCAUUAGUUGAUUAUUGACAUGAAUUUCCAUAUUGAUUGGCCAUUAUUGUAGUUUUUCUCAAAUAAAUUACUAACACCAUUUACCAAUUGGGGAAAUUGUACAGAAAUAAUGAAACUCAAUAUACUAUAAAUUGUCUAAAAGAAAAUAUUCUUUGUUUUAUUUUUAUAUAUUACAAAAAUAAAUUCGUAUGACAAUUGAAUACCAUAGCUUUCCAGAAACAAAGAAGGCACAUUAUUUAUUGCAUGUGGUUUACAAAGCAAUGUAUGUAAAGUCAUUGUAAACUCUAAAUGAUAUUAUCAACUGAUAUUUCUAUAACAAUAUUUUUCCUUAUAAAUUCAAGAACCUUUUCUAGUAUAAGAGGCCACCUGAAGAAUCCAGAUUCAGUUCCAGAUCCAUACAUCUACUUUUUCAAGAGGAAUUUUGGUGGCACAUUAAAUUCUAUCAUUCAAUUUUCUGGUUUGUUUCAUAAUAAAUGGUGGACUCUAAAAUGGCUGACAUCAAAUAUAUCCCCUGCCAGAUUUGGUAGCAUAAUUAAAACUGUCUGCUACCUAAUAUGAGCAAUUUCUCUUUAUAAGGAAUGAAUUUGAUCACAGUUAAUUUUAUUUAAGAUUACAGAUGUUAAAAGUCUGAAAUUGGAUCAUAAUUAUUAAUGAUUACAAUCUACUAUAUUCUUCAUCAUAAUAUUAGUGACUUGAAAAGUUUGAAUUGUAUUUACCAAGCUUGUAUGAUCUUCAACAUUUAUAAUGAUUAUCAGAUAUGAGAAUGUGUACAGUUGUCCCAACUUCCAUUAAAGAGAAAGUUGUAUCCCGUGUGAAAUUUUUGAAUUAAAAAUAAUCCAAAAAAAUCUGCUAUCCACUUUUACAGUUUCUUUCCAUUAAAGCGUGAUUCGGGUAAAGUAAAUACAAGAAAUAUUGAUCUAUUUUAUUUGAUCUUUUUAAUGGAAAAACUAUACUAAUAGCAGCAUGUAACUGCUAUUUGAAAAACUUAAAGAAAUGAUUAUUCAUGCUUAAACUGUUCUGAUCUUACAGAUUAAUUUUUACAUUCCAAUAUAUGAUUUUUCAAACCAGUGUUACAGCUGUGCAAAAAAUUCUGUAGUGUGUGAAAAUUUUAUUAAUCAUAGAAAAUUGUUGAAAGAAGUUUAAUGUGCAAGUUAAAGCCAAAACUUUUUAGAGUCAUAUUUAUGUUUUAUAAUAUAAAUAUUGUAUAACAACAGUUCCAAUCAUCAAGUUUUAAAUAGACUGGAAUAAUUCUUAAUCAUCUACUCAAUAUUAGGAAAACAAGCGCUCAAUUGGUUGGAUCUGUGAUGUUUGGAUUGCUUAUUUUCGCAAAUAUGCAUUUAAUUCUAUAGUUAAUUGCCUUUGUUUUGAUUGAAUUGAAUGCAUGUUUGCGAAAAUGGGCA